rnacentral:rRNA from 1 species
GACAGAGGGUGCAAGCGUUGUUCGGAAUUACUGGGCGUAAAGCGUGUGUAGGCGGCUUUGCAAGUCGGAUGUGAAAUCCCCGGGCUCAACCCGGGAAGUGCACCCGAAACUGCAGGGCUCGAGUACCGGAGAGGUUGGUGGAAUUCUCGGUGUAGAGGUGAAAUUCGUAGAUAUCGAGAGGAACACCGGUGGCGAAGGCGGCCAACUGGACGAGUACUGACGCUGAGACACGAAAGCGUGGGGAGCAAACAGG